rnacentral:rRNA from 1 species
GACGAACGCUGGCGGCGUGCUUAACACAUGCAAGUCGAACGGAAAGGCCCUGCUUUUGUGGGGUGCUCGAGUGGCGAACGGGUGAGUAACCCGUGAGUAACCUGCCCUUGACUUUGGGAUAACUUCAGGAAACUGGGGCUAAUACCGGAUAGGAGCUCCUGCUGCCUGGUGGGGGUUGGAAAGUUUCGGCGGUUGGGGAUGGACUCGCGGCUUAUCAGCUUGUUGGUGGGGUAGUGGCUUACCAAGGCGUUGACGGGUAGCCGGCCUGAGAGGGUGACCGGCCACAUUGGGACUGAGAUGCGGCCCAGACUCCUACGGGAGGAAGCAGUGGGGAAUAUUGCACAAUGGGCGGAAGCCUGAUGCAGCAGCGCCGCGUGGGGGAUGACGGCCGUCGGGUUGUAGACCGCUUUCGCCUGUGACGAAGCGUGAGUGACGGUAAUGGGUAAAGAAGCACCGGCUAACUCCGUG